rnacentral:tRNA from 2 species
GCGUCGGUAGCUCAGUUGGUAGAGCACCUGAUUGAAGAUCAGGGUGUCAGUAGUUCGAAUCUAUUCCGUCGCACCA